UCGCUCGAACUCCCUGUCUCUUCGUUUCCACACAGGCGGCGAACGCAGGGACUGGCGCCUGGCGCUAGAGCCCUAGAAGGCUAGACGCACGGCCGUCGCCCGGCAGCGAGCGGACGCAAGGCGUCCAGACAGUCUACUCGUCCGGUCAUCCCUCAACCCCCUCCUUCUUCUCAUUUCGCCUCGGCUCUGUUCGGAGAGGGAGAGCUUCUUGCACCAGCUCACAUCACUGAACUUCUUCAAGUAGAGAAGAUAAAACAGAUUACAGAUUACUCUGUGUUUAUUUUCAGAGAUGAGGACUUUUUUGGUUAAUAGAGCAAGCACUGAAAAUGUGAACAGUGUGCAACCGGACAUAGAACUGGAGGCACACCCACCUCCUAACAUUGUCAAUGAGGAGGUUUUCUACUUGUGAUGAUGUUCAAAGUAUGGCCAUGAAGAUGGUUGAAACUGAGAAACAUUUGGUAUUUUCACUGGUAUACAAACUUAUUGAGUUGGCCUUGAUAUUGCCGGCGUCAACGGUAUUUGUUGAGAGAGAUUUUUCAGGAAUGAAGAUUAUCAAGACUAAACUGCGUAGCAAGAUCAAUAAUGAAUGGUUUAAUGACUUGUUGAGAUGUUACACCGAGCGGGAGUUAUUCAAGUCAGUUGAUGAUAAGGAUAUUGUUCAAACAUUUACUGCAACGAGCUCUCGGAAGGGGUAUUUGCCUCAUGAUUUUGUUU